rnacentral:lncRNA from 1 species
AUAGUAUAUGAUUUCAAUUUUUUAUUCGUAAGGAACUUAACUUAGUUUAAAUAUAAUGAUUUUUUUGUAAAACAAAUUGAAAAAUAUAGACUGAAAAAGACGUCUUCAGAUAAAUAGACUUUAUUUUAGGUCUACGAAACCCUAAACCACAAAUCUCAAACCCUAAAUGUUUUGCUUGAUAAUCAAAAAGUCUCAUUUAUACAAAAUAUAAACUACUAAACAUUAAUAUGCAGAUUUAAGUUAAUAAAACAAAAAAAAAACAAAAUCUAAAAUCUAACCCUUUGAAAUCAACUACUAAAAGACAUAACAUGUUAGAACCUUUUGUUUGUAAACUAUGAACAUAGUCUAACACAUGAUAACCAAAUUAGUAUAUAUUCUUCAAAAUUGUUCGAUUAUAUGAAAUUUUAAUUUAUUUACUUCAUAUUAUCCAUUAUAUUGAUGAUUAGUUAAAAAUAUCACAAUAAUUAUUUUUAUACAUUUUUAAAAUUAAAUUAUUAGAUCAAAUUAGAGUGUAGACUACAAAACAAAUAUAUAAAGUAGACUUCGUAGGAAGUCUAUAUAUAUGUAGACUUCUUUUAUUACGUGUAGACUUCCAAAGGAUAGAAACGUAAAAUACAUUUCUGUUUUUUGUUUGGUCAUAAGGGUUAAAUAGUACUUUCACUACUCCUUUAGGUUGAUUUUGCAUUUGACUGAAAGUGGGGUAUACUUUUACAUUUGACUUGAAUAUUUGGGUUGGUUUUAGCAAAUGUCCCAUAUUAAACAUUCUAUCUAACUUUAUUUAUUAAUUGAAGUUUAUUUGAUUAAUCAAAAUAUUUUAACAAAUACAUAAUUCGAUAAUUUGUAACAUUAUGUAUUUUAAAACUAUAUUUUCACAUUCAAACUCAAUAAAAUAUGGGUGUUUUUCAAAACCAACCCAUAUUUUCAAGUCAAACCCAAAACCAACCCCUUUUUUUUUGUUCAUACUAUUCAUCAAUAAAAUUUCCAUAUUAUCCUUAUGUUUUUGAAUUAUUCACAAAAUUGCCAUUUUUAUUUAUUUUUUUAUUAAUUUCGAAAUUAACAAAAAAUCAAAUACACCCUAACCAUUUCUUCUUAUUUACAAAAAUGCCAUCAUCAUCAAUUUUUUCAACCACCAUGAACCACCAUUUUUGAGCUCUAAAGCUCUAGAAUUCAUUUUUCAACCACUUUUUCUUCUCAUUAUAACCCAAAAAACUUCAUUUCCUCUCAUCUCCUCUACAUUUCCAUCUAAAAAACUCUCAUAACUAUCAUUUUCAUAAUCACAAACUUCAUAUUUUCGAGUUUCUUCAUUAGUGAAUCGUUAAAGAUGCUUCUUUUUGCUCAUAUUUGGAGUUUGGACGGUUGAAAAGGUUGGAAACGAGCUUUACACAUGAAAAAUGUAACUAUUUACAUGGUUUUCGUUCUUUUUCAGAUCUGUGUCGCGACGGUAGACUGUUUUGUAUGUCUACGCCUCCGUGGAGACUUACGAUGCAGUCUAUUUGUCAACGCACGGGUUAGUUUUGCAAUUGACCAGACAAAUUUUUUUUCUAACGCAGACUUCCCCAGUAGUCUCCGUCUUUACCUUUGACAACAAAAAUAAAACUUUCAGUAGACUUACUAAGACGUCUACCUAAAAAAGGUUAGUUUUUCAUUUGACCGAACUUUUGACUUUUCAAAAUAGACUUCAACGGAAGUCUACAAAAUGUAGACUGCCAACGAAGUCUAUAAAAGGCCAGUUUUGCAUUUGACCAAAACUUUGACUUCGUGGAAUAGGUUAGUUUUGUGUUUGACCAAAAAGUUUAAAAAGCAAUCAAAAAUUUAUUAAAUUGUAGAUUUCAUAUGCAGUCUUCUUAUCUUAAAAAAAAAAAUGUAGACUGCGUAUAAAGUCUACUUUUUUAUUUUGGUCAAAUGCAAAACCAACCCGUCGGAUUUGAGAGUAGACUUCACAAGAAGUCUACACACCCGUAGACGUUCAUUUUAAUCUACUGAUUUGAAGUCAAACUUGGUCAAUUGCAAAACUAACCUCUUUCAAAAAAAUUCAAACAUGUAGACUGCACAUGAAGUCUAGUUCUGAAAGUCAAAUCUUGGAUGAAUUCUGGUCAAUUGCAAAAAGUAACCUUUUUAAAUUGUAGACUGAAAUGAAAGUCUACAUGUACAAAAUUACAACUUUUAUUCAACUAUAGAAAGCAACCCGUAAAAUGGUCAAUUACAAAAACCAACCCAAAGAGUAGACCUAUUUGACAGUCUACGUCUGUAAACUGAAAAGAACGUCAACAUCUUCAGAGACUAAAUAUUAAGUCUUCAUAGAAAAAUCUAUAAAAAUGUGAAUUUGUGUAUUAUUCAUUAAUUUUUUCUAGUUUUUUUGUUUGACAGUGUGUGUUAGUUAAUCCUAAUGGGUUUGAGUGAUUUUAAAAAUAAUUUUUUUUUAUAAUUAUGAAGGUAUAAUUCAUUUGAUUUGACAAUGUUGUUAGCUAAUAAUUGUAGAUGUAUUUCUAAGUCUUCGUUUAUAGUUUUGCUAGUAAGGCUGAGCUUGUUUCAAAGCUGAAGUCGGUGACUGUGGAAUAUAAUUUUACAUUUUCAGCAUAUAAGACAACAAAAACUCUGUAUGUGGCUAAGUGUCGUGUUCAAGGAUGUGGUUGGAAACUUAGAGCGAGUGUGAAGUAUGGGCCAAAGACAUUUUGGGUGACAAAAUAUUCGAAAAGGAUGAAGAAUCGGAAAGGUUGAAGAAUGUUCUUUGUGCAUGAUGGUUGUACACAUGGUAAACUUCUUGAAAUGACACAAGAAGAUUAUGAUCUGGACAACAAAAUUGAGAAGAUUGUGCUAACCUAUUCCUUACCAAACAUCAUUUAAAACAAAUGACUCCGAAUAGGAAUAUACUCCUCUUAUGCCUGUCACGAAUAAUCAACAAGUACGGAACUUGAUCGAGUUAUCUAAGACACACUUUGUACGCCUUUGUGUAUCAAGCCUGCGCCAAUACACUAAAAAAAUUUGGAUUGACUAUAUGUUAAAUAAUAAGUGUAGACGUUUUUGUAAAUCUACAAAUGUAGACUGCAGUUGAAGUCUACGUCGUAAAUUCUAUUAAAAGUGUAUUUGUGUAUUAUUCAUCAUAUUUUUUCAUGAUUUAAUUAUUUUACAGUGUAUGUUAGUAAAAUUUUAAUGGUCUUGGAUGAAUUUCACAAUUUAAUGUGUUAUAAUUAUACACUUGAUACUUAUUGUAAAUUGUUUUGAUUAGUGUUAUUCUUGAAAAUUUUUGGAAAAAUUUUGUAUAGAUUUUUUUCUUCUCACAUGUGUGUUAGUUAUUAUUUUAGCUUAUGGUGGUUUUACUUGUUUGGUUGGUUAGAUCUUGUGAAAAAAUUGAUAUCUAACAAAAAAUUAAUAAUAUCAUACAAGUGAAAACAACUAAAAAUGAAUACAAUGUUUAUAGAUUAUGCAUUAAAAAAUUAUUUAAAAAUUAAUAUUUUAUUAUGAAAGUUAUUACAGAGCAAUAUAUUAAAAAGUAUUCUUGAGUAUGUUUGAUUUUUCAUAAUCUUGAUGCUUCAAAUAAAGUCUUGGAAAAAGUACCUGCCAAAUAAGAUAGAGUUAUGAGAAAAACAUAAGAUAAAAAAUGAAAUCAUAUUUUAGUAGACUUUUUAUUAAGUCUACGUAAAGUUAUUGUUUAGUAGACUUUAGUUGAAGUCUACACUAAUGGAAAAUUUUCAUAUCUAAAAGUGUGCAUUUAGAAAAUUUGAAAAUACUUUGUUCUGGAAAAUAUUUCAAAAAUGGUUUUUUGUUAUCCUUGUAACAAAGCAAAAAGAUAAUGUAUGAAUCUAUAAAUUUAGUUCAUUAUAAACACAAAAUAUCUUAUAAUGAAUAUAUGGAAAGCUUACAUUUUUGGGAAGAUGAUUUGAAAAUAUUGGAAUAGAAUACCUGCAAAAUAAAAUAAAAUUUUAAAAAAUAAGAUAAAAAUUAAAAUCAUAUUUGAGUAAACUUCUAAUGAAAUUUGCUUAAAAUUCAAGGCUAGUAGACUUCAUUUGAAGUCUACCAGCCGUAAGUUUUAAGUAGAUUUCAAAUGAAGUCUACUCUAUCAAAAAAAAUAGAUCUGAAAAAUAAUAGAUUAAAAAUAUGAAAUAAGUUUAAAUCUAAAAAACUUUUAAAAAUAUGAUUUAAUAAACAAAAUAGUUAUAAAUUAAAGACAUAUUAAUAUGAAUUUUAAUAUGUAACUUUAUUUGAAUAUAAAUACUAGAACACAUAUUUUAAAUCUAUAGAUGUAAACCUUACAUUUCUAGGAGGAGAAGAGAACACCUAUGGAAGAAAAUACCUGCAAAAUAAGAUAAAAUUAUUAAAAAACAUAGAAAAAAAAUUAAAGUCAUAUUUUUGUAGACUUCCAAUGAAGUCUGCUUAAACUUUGUUGUUUAGUAAAUUUCAUAAGAAGUCUGCAAGCGUUAGUAAACUUCUUUAGAAGUCUACACUGUCUGAUAAUUUUCAGAUCUGAAAAAAUCUAUAUAUUUUGAAAUGUGAAAAUAAUUUUAAAUCUGAAAAUACUUUACAUAAUAGAAUUUAUAAGGUAAACUAGUAGCAAAUUAAUGUAGAGAGCUUGAUCUAUAAAUUUAUUUGAAUAUAAACAUGUAAAUACAUAUUUAAAAUCUAUUAAUCUAAAACUUACAUUUUUAGAGGAGAUGAUGAAAUCCAUGAGUGAUAAUACCUACCAAAAAAAGAUAAUAUUGUGAGAAAUAAACAUAAAAAUACACAUUUAAAAUCUAUAGAUCUAAAACUUACAUUUUUUAAAGGAGAAGAUGAAAACCAUGAAUCAUAAUAUCUAAAAUGACAAGAUAAUAUUGUGAGAAAGACUUGAGAAAAUUUUAGAGAGAAAGAAGAUAAUGAGAGAGAUUUAGAAACAAUUGAGAGAAUUUUAGAGAGAAGAGAAAAAGUUUUAGAGAGAAGGGAGAGAGUUUUAAGAACUUGUGCAGCCACUUUAGAGAGAGAUUGAAUAAAUUUUGUUUAUAUAGGGAGACAAAAAUGUAACUAGGUUAAAAUUUACGAUACUGUAGACUUCGUUUGAAGUCUACUAAAAUUAAAAUUUUGGAGUAGAUCUAUAACAUAGUAGACCUUUUUGGAAGUCUACUAUAAUAAUUUAAUUAUUAUUGUUUAUUCUUUAUUAUUUUAAUAAUUUUUAUAUAUGAUUUAUUAAAUUUAUUUCUUUAUUUUUUAAUAGUUAUAGUAUAUGAUUUCACUUUUUUAUUCGUAAGGAACUUAACUUAGUUUAAAUAUAAUGAUUUUUUGUAAAACAAAUUGAAAAAUAUAGACUGAAAAAGACGUCUUCAGAUAAAUAGACUUUAUUGUAGGUCUACGAAACCCUAAACCACAAAUAUCAAACCCUAAAUGUUUUGCUUGAUAAUCAAAAAGUCUCAUUUAUACAAAAUAUAAACUACUAAACAUUAAUAUGCAGAUUUAAGUUAAUAAAACAAAAAAAAAACAAAAUCUAAAAUCUA